AAUUUAGCAAUUCUCACUAGGCAAGUGUUUCACUCAAUCACUCAAGUGUUUGAGGUAGCACUCCAACUCUCUAUCAUUCACAAGUCACAUGAAACAAAAUUGCCAUUCAUCUAAAACAACCAAAAUUCUUACAUGCAAAUGCCAUCAAAAGGACUUUUCCAAGGCUUGUAAUGAGGCUGGGCUAACAAGAAAAUUGGUCUUUCUAGAAUGCAAAGUCCUUGAGUUAAGAGAGCUAUCAUAAUAUUCUACAUUCAAGAACAACUCUCUUCCUCACCAAUCUCACUCAUUCCCAACUUUUCCCCUUUUCUUUUGCAUUGAGCCCAUCUUCACGCUUUUCUUCUUUUCUUUUCAUUUUCUCAUGUAUAUUUCUUUCACAACAUUGGAGCACAAUGCUUUCUCAAUUGCCUUUCAGUUUCCCC
rnacentral:lncRNA from 1 species